GAUGAACGCUGGCGGCGUGCCUAAUACAUGCCAGUCGAGCGAACAGACGAGGAGCUUGCUCCUCUGACGUUAGCGGCGGACGGGUGAGUAACACGUGGAUAACCUACCUAUAAGACUGGGAUAACUUCGGGAAACCGGAGCUAAUACCGGAUAAUAUAUUGAACCGCAUGGUUCAAUAGUGAAAGACGGCUUUGCUGUCACUUAUAGAUGGAUCCGCGCCGCAUUAGCUAGUUGGUAAGGUAACGGCUUACCAAGGCAACGAUGCGUAGCCGACCUGAGAGGAUGAUCGGCCACACUGGAACUGAGACACGGUCCAGACUCCUACGGGAGGCAGCAGUAGGGAAUCUUCCGCAAUGGGCGAAAGCCUGACGGAGCAACGCCGCGUGAGUGAUGAAGGUCUUCGGAUCGUAAAACUCUGUUAUUAGGGAAGAACAAAUGUGUAAGUAACUAUGCACGUCUUGACGGUACCUAAUCAGAAAGCCACGGCUAACUACGUG
rnacentral:rRNA from 1 species